rnacentral:ncRNA from 1 species
UGUAGCGGUGAAAUGCUUAGAUAUGACGAAGAACUCCGAUUGCGAAGGCAGCUGACGGGAGCGCAACUGACGCUUAAGCUCGAAGGUGCGGGUAUCAAACAGGAUUAGAUACCCUGGUAGUCCGCACAGUAAACGAUGGAUGCCCGCUGUUGGUACCUGGUAUCAGCGGCUAAGCGAAAGCAUUAAGCAUCCCACCUGGGGAGUACGCCGGCAACGGUGAAACUCAAAGGAAUUGACGGGGGCCCGCACAAGCGGAGGAACAUGUGGUUUAAUUCGAUGAUACGCGAGGAACCUUACCCGGGCUUGAAUUGCAGAGGAAGGAUUUAGAGAUAAUGACGCCCUUCGGGGUCUCUGUGAAGGUGCUGCAUGGUUGUCGUCAGCUCGUGCCGUGAGGUGUCGGCUUAAGUGCCAUAACGAGCGCAACCCCUCUCUUCAGUUGCCAUCAGGUGAUGCUGGGCACUCUGGAGACACUGCCACCGUAAGGUGUGAGGAAGGUGGGGAUGACGUCAAAUCAGCACGGCCCUUACGUCCGGGGCUACACACGUGUUACAAUGGCCGGUACAGAGGGAUGGUGUAAUGCAAAUUGCAUCAAAUCUUGAAAGCCGGUCCCAGUUCGGACUGGGGUCUGCAACCCGACCCCACGAAGCUGGAUUCGCUAGUAAUCGCGCAU